AUUUGAGGAAGCACCAUUCAGUGGUCCUGAUGUGAUAACUCAGGAUACAGAAACCAGCAUGAAAGGUGUCAAAAGAAUUUUUUUUUCAUCUCCAAGGCAGAAUAAAAUGAGGCAAAGAGAAAAGUAAAAAUGAUCAUCAAAGGCUGUGGUGCUGUAGCCAUAGGGAGAACACUGCCUAUGUGGGAGAUGAAGCUGGAGUCGUGAGCCUGGAAAUGAACUGUAGAAGAAAGGAAAUUAUGGCUUAAUGGAGGAUGUUGUUGGUCAUGAAAUAGCAUCAUCUUUCAGUACAGACACCUCUGGAUACAUCUGUGACGGAAUUCCCAGAGGGGCUUAACUGAGAAGGAAAGACCUGCUUUGAAUGGGUACUGUGGCCAGAUGCUCACAGUCCUGUCACAAGUGAAACAUCUCUUUAUAACCAUGCCUACCCACCACAAUGGACCACACCUCCCUGCUAGGUCCCAAGGUAAGUUAAUGCAGCUGAGGAGUCAUACAGAUGUUCGGCAUCAUAGGUAGAGCUCUAGCCACUAUUAGGUGAGCUGCUUUGCUCCCUGGGAUACUGUCCCAUGAUGCUCUUCUUCAGCUCCUGUUUGAGGCUAAAGAUGUGAGCUGCUGUUCCAGUUGCCUGCUGCCAGCUACCUCUGUUUCCCCAUCAUGCACUAGCAACUCUCUGGAACUUCAAGGCCAAAAUAAAUUCUUUCUUC
rnacentral:lncRNA from 1 species